UACUCUGGCCACCAUCGCAUCAACGUCCUGGCUUUCGCAUUUAGGUAUUUACCUCAUAUCGAUGUCGUGGCGUUCUCGCAGCGACAUGGAACGCAUGGGCCUGGUGAGGGCUAACCCUUUCUCGGCGCCGCCCGGGCUCUUCUGUAUCAGCGCGUUUGCGUAUAUGUCGUUUCCUAAAACAGAGAGAUUACAUUGUAGUUGACAAAUAAAA